UUUUGCUAGUGCAAUGAGUGCAUCUAGCUAACUUCUGGAUUACUUCUGAAAACAAUUUCACCGUAACAUUUUCAAGAGGAAACGUGUAUGAUGUAAGUGUCGUGCAGCCUACUGGCAUGGUAAAGGAACUAUUUUCUUUUACUGAAUGUGCCAUCGAAAUGAUACAGGAUUCAUCAAAUUUAUCUACUGUUUGUAUUGGACUUGCUAGAUCACCAACCCCAGCAUAGACCAAUCUCUCAUUUCAUCUUCUCAGGAGAGGAUUGGAUAGCUGAUCUGUGUUAUCAUAUGUUCUAAAUUGGAGGUUUCUAAAUUGACAUUCAUGACAGACUUUAUGAGAAGUCAUGUCCUUUCAAGAAAGUCAACAAGUUUCACAAAUUUUUCUAAUUCAACAACUCACGUAGAAUUUUGCAUCUAGUCUAUUAGUGAAAAUCGCGAUUCCAUGUGUUUGGUAGUUAUAAGAAAUUGGUUGUUUAAAAAACAAACAAUGGGGUGUUCUGAGUAGCCAAAAAAACUCACCAUUGUUUGUUUUUUGAACAACAAAAAUUUUGUAACUUGACUGACGCAGAUUUCCGCAAAACGAAACCAUCGCUUUUUGUCUCAUUGCCGCAGCGGUGGUGGCGGGUUGCGUUAAACUCGUACGUAGAAGAAAAACAUCUACAACCGGACGCACUGUUUAUUGAAAAUUUUGAACAUUUAAAAAAAUAAUAAAAAUU
rnacentral:lncRNA from 1 species